UACGUAGGGUGCAAGCGUUGUCCGGAAUUAUUGGGCGUAAAGAGCUCGUAGGCGGCUUGUCGCGUCGACUGUGAAAUCCCGCGGCUCAACUGCGGGUCUGCAGUCGAUACGGGCAGGCUAGAGUUCGGUAGGGGAGACUGGAAUUCCUGGUGUAGCGGUGAAAUGCGCAGAUAUCAGGAAGAACACCAGUGGCGAAGGCGACUUACUGGACACAUAUUGACGCUGAGGUGCGAAAGCGUGGGGAGCAAACAGG
rnacentral:rRNA from 1 species